AUGGCACCGCGAGUACCCCCUCUUAAAGAUGCCAUGCAUCAUGUUGUUGCAAGGAAUGACAAAUCAAAACUCGAAAUAAAAUACAUCAAUGCUGUGAAAGGACGUGGGCUAUUUGCAAAAGGUUCAUUUUGCAAAGGUGAUUUUGUAGUCGAAUACAGAGGGGAGUUUAUAAAUAAUGCUGAGCUGGAGAGGAGGAGAAAAAUUUAUCACCCGUCUUGUUCCAUUUUCAUGUUUGAGUUUAAAUGGAGAGGGAAAACAUGGUGCAUCGAUGCAUCCAGGGAUGAUGGAUCAUUUGGAC